rnacentral:rRNA from 1 species
UACAGAGGUCUCAAGCGUUGUUCGGAUUCAUUGGGCGUAAAGGGUGCGUAGGCGGCGCGGUAAGUCGGGUGUGAAAUCUCGGAGCUUAACUCCGAAACUGCAUUCGAUACUGCCGUGCUUGAGGACUGGAGAGGAGACUGGAAUUUACGGUGUAGCGGUGAAAUGCGUAGAGAUUGGGAAGAACACCGGUGGCGAAAGCGCUCUGCUAGGACAAUACUGACACUGAGGGACGAAAGCUAGGGGAGCGAAUGGG